rnacentral:rRNA from 1 species
UGGGGAAUUUUGCACAAUGGGGGAAACCCUGAUGCAGCGACGCCGCGUGAUUUAGAAGGCCUUCGGGUUGUAAAAAUCUUUUGUAUGGGAAGAAAAUGACAGUACCAUACGAAUAAGGACCGGCUAAUUACGUGCCAGCAGCCGCGGUAAUACGUAAGGUCCGAGCGUUGUCCGGAAUCAUUGGGCGUAAAGGGUACGUAGGCGGAUAAGCAAGUUAGAAGUGAAAUCCUAUAGCUCAACUAUAGUAAGCUUUUAAAACUGCUCAUCUUGAGGGAUGGAAGGGAAAGUGGAAUUCCUAGUGUAGCGGUGAAAUGCGCAGAUAUUAGGAGGAAUACCGGUGGCGAAGGCGACUUUCUGGCCAUAUACUGACGCUGAGGUACGAAAGCGUGGGUAGCAAACAGG